CCUGGUGGCUCAGAAGGUAAAGCAUCUGCCUGCAAUGUGGAAGAUCCGGGUUUGAUUCCUGGGUCAGGA
rnacentral:tRNA from 1 species